ensembl:lncRNA
CAGUGAAAUGCUGAAUACAACAGGUGUAGUAGACCUGACAGUGAAAUGCUGAAUACAACAGGUGUAGGUAGACCUGACAGUGAAAUGCUGAAUACAACAGGUGUAGGUAGACCUGACAGUGAAAUGCUGAAUACAACAGGUGUAGGUAGACCUGACAGUGAAAUGCUGAAUACAACAGGUGUAGUAGACCUUACAGUGAAAUGCUGAAUACAACAGGUGUAGGUAGACCUUACAGUGAAAUGCUAAAUACAACAGGUGUAGUAGACCUUACAGUGAAAUGCUGAAUACAACAGGUGUAGGUAGACCUUACAGUGAAAUGCUGAAUACAACAGGUGUAGGUAGACCUUACAGUGAAAUGCUGAAUACAACAGGUGUAGUAGACCUUACAGUGAAAUGCUGAAUACAACAGGUGUAGUAGACCUUACAGUGAAAUGCUGAAUACAACAGGUGUAG